rnacentral:rRNA from 1 species
CAGCCGCCACGGGAAUACGUAGGGUGCAAGCGUUAAUCGGAAUUACUGGGCGUAAAGCGUGCGCAGGCGGUUAUAUAAGUCAGAUGUGAAAUCCCCGGGCUCAACCUGGGAACUGCAUUUGAGACUGUAUGGCUAGAGUGUGUCAGAGGGGGGUAGAAUUCCACGUGUAGCAGUGAAAUGCGUAGAUAUGUGGAGGAAUACCGAUGGCGAAGGCAGCCCCCUGGGAUAACACUGACGCUCAUGCACGAAAGCGUGGGGAGCAAACAGGAUUAGAUACCCCAGUAGUCCCUGUCUCUUAUAC